rnacentral:rRNA from 1 species
UACGUAGGUGGCGAGCGUUGUCCGGAUUUACUGGGCGUAAAGAGCGCGCAGGCGGUCGUUCAAGUCGCGUGUGAAAGCCCCCGGCUCAACUGGGGAGGGUCACGCGAUACUGAUCGACUCGAAGGCAGGAGAGGGUAGUGGAAUUCCCGGUGUAGUGGUGGAAAUGCGUAGAUAUCGGGAGGAACACCAGUGGCGAAGGCGACUACCUGCCUGUUCUUGACGCUGAGGCGCGAAAGCUAGGGGAGCAAACGGGG